GACUCCCUAAGCAGCUUGCCCAGGUUCAGAGAUGUUCAGUAACCCACUCGAGACUGCACAGCUUAAGUGGUGAAGCUGCCAUUCAAACCCAGGUAGCCUCUCUAUUGCUUCUGAAGAUCUACCUACCUCUGCUUGCAAAGAAUGGCAGAAGUGAGGAUUCCAGUCUCACCAAGGCCCUCAGCUCCUUUCCAAGUUACCCACAAAGAGCAUGUUGUAGCACUGGACCUGUCCCUACCUGGCACUAGCUGUCACAACCUGAAAAUCCUCUGGCUGCCAAGUUGCCGGAGCCCAGCCCAAGCUCCCUCCCUGACGCCCCGCAGCAGCGAGGAUCCACCUGCCUACUGGAUGAGAGAGCACCAGAGCGGCGGGGGAACCAGCCCAGCCCGCCGCAUCCACAGCUGUUCUUUCAAUCUGUCUCAAAGUUCCCCGGCCCCUGUGGGGAGUCCUCAGCUCCAGGCAAACCCUUGAGCAGUCCUACCAUCCAUCUGCCUAACACGCACCCUUUCCAGCUCCUAGGGGACCUUGGAGAGGGGCAAAAAGGGUUCCAGGUGCAGGGCUCAGCCUUCUCCGGGUGGAGCACUCGGGGAGGCUGAGGUUGCCCAGGGAAAGUAGAGAUUACUCAUACAUGGUAACAGCAUAAUUGCCUACUUGCUUCUUCCAAGAACAGUUAAUAAAAUUAAAAGGAAAAGUUAAGCACCUCCCAAUUAAA